rnacentral:rRNA from 1 species
ACCUCGCAGUCGANCGGCAGCACGGGAGCAAUCCUGGUGGCGAGUGGCGAACGGGUGAGUAAUAUAUCGGAACGUGCCCAGUCGUGGGGGAUAACGCAGCGAAAGCUGUGUUAAUACCGCAUACGAUCUCUGGAUGAAAGCGGGGGACUCGCAAGAGCCUCGCGCGAUUGGAGCGGCCGAUAUCAGAUUAGCUAGUUGGUGGGGUAAAGGCUCACCAAGGCGACGAUCUGUAGCUGGUCUGAGAGGACGACCAGCCACACUGGAACUGAGACACGGUCCAGACUCCUACGGGAGGCAGCAGUGGGGAAUUUUGGACAAUGGGCGCAAGCCUGAUCCAGCAAUGCCGCGUGCAGGAUGAAGGCCUUCGGGUUGUAAACUGCUUUUGUACGGAACGAAACGGUUCUCUCUAAUAAAGAGGGCUAAUGACGGUACCGUAAGAAUAAGCACCGGCUAACUACGUGCCAGCAGCCGCGGUAAUACGUAGGGUGCGAGCGUUAAUCGGAAUUACUGGGCGUAAAGCGUGCGCAGGCGGUGAUGUAAGACAGAUGUGAAAUCCCCGGGCUCAACCUGGGACCUGCAUUUGUGACUGCAUCGCUAGAGUACGGUAGAGGGGGAUGGAAUUCCGCGUGUAGCAGUGAAAUGCGUAGAUAUGCGGAGGAACACCGAUGGCGAAGGCAAUCCCCUGGACCUGUACUGACGCUCAUGCACGAAAGCGUGGGGAGCAAACAGGAUUAGAUACCCUGGUAGUCCACGCCCUAAACGAUGUCAACUGGUUGUUGGGUCUUUACUGACUCAGUAACGAAGCUGAUGCGUGAAGUUGACCGCCUGGGAGUACGGCCGCAGGUUGAAACUCAAGGAAUUGACGGGGACCCGCACAAGCGGUGGAUGAUGUGGUUUAUUCCGAUGCAACGCGAAGAACCUUACC